rnacentral:rRNA from 1 species
GAUUAUGGCUCAGGAUGAACGCUAGCGGCAGGCCUAAUACAUGCAAGUCGAACGGGAAGGGGCCCUUCGGGGCUUCUGAGAGUGGCGCACGGGUGCGCAACGCGUAUGCAACCAACCCCCGACGGGCGGAUAGCCGGUGGAAACGCCGGAUAAUACGCCAUGGUUCCGCAGGGAGGCAUCUCCAGGCGGAUAAAGCCGAGAGGCGGUCGGGGACGGGCAUGCGUCCCAUUAGGUAGUCGGCGGGGUGACGGCCCACCGAGCCCGUGAUGGGUAGGGGAUCUGAGAGGACGGUCCCCCACACUGGUACUGAGACACGGACCAGACUCCUGCGGGAGGCAGCAGUAAGGGAUAUUGGUCAAUGGUCGGAAGACUGAACCAGCCAUGCCGCGUGAGGGAAUGAGGCCCUACGGGUCGUGAACCUCUUUUAUUCGGGGACAAGGGCGCGGUCGCGAACCGUGUUUGAGGGUACCGAAGGAAUAAGCGUCGGCUAACUCCGUGCCAGCAGCUGC